rnacentral:rRNA from 1 species
CACGUAGGGUGCGAGCGUUGUCCGGAAUUAUUGGGCGUAAAGAGCUCGUAGGCGGUGUGUCGCGUCGGCCGUGAAAACCCAGGGCUCAACCCUGGGCCUGCAUUCGAUACGGGCAGACUAGAGUGUGGCAGGGGAGACUGGAAUUCCUGGUGUAGCGGUGAAAUGCGCAGAUAUCAGGAGGAACACCGGUGGCGAAGGCGGGUCUCUGGGCCAAUACUGACGCUGAGGAGCGAAAGCGUGGGGAGCGAACAGG